CUUAACGUUGCUCCGCGUGUGUGGGAGUAAAUUUGCCGCUGGAUUAAAUAAACAGCAAACAAGGGACUUCACAUCAAAAGUGAUAAACUCUGUGUUUGGACCCCAUUAACCGCAGAAGAUCCAUUGGUGAGAUGCAAUCCUGAUCUUGAAACAACCUCAUCUACAUCAUGGAUGACAUGAGGCCCACGGAUUCUUCAAACUAUUAAAAGUUCCACAGAGAGAAAAACACAGCAGCUUUCCAUGGCUGGAUAACUUUGAAUCCACUGGUAUUUCUAACAGCCAUGAAUUCCCGUGAAUAAUAUAUUAGUUUUGUGCUGUUAUCAUCUGACAUUAUAAUCAAAAAAACAUUUUUUAAAUAAGCAAGUGAGGUCGGUGGAAACUUGUUUUGAUAGACGAGGCUCUUUUUGCAAAAAUGAGUUUGUCUUUUCUUUAAAACUUCAAAGCAACAACUUUGAAAAUCUGUGAAUAAAACAUUUUGUUUUUAAGCUGCGCUCAUGCGGGCAGGGUUCGAGCGCCGUUAUAGCGUUCGUUAACGUUGCAUCACCGUGGCAAGAUGCCAUAAAUGGUCUCAUGGAGCUUGGCACCUCGUUCUGAGAGACCUGCCAUCCCGAGCAAAGCUAUUAGUUAAUGGAACAGCAUGACAUCACUGUGAUGAAGAGACAGAUCUGCUCACGUGACAACAGUCGGCGUGACAUGUUUUAGCCAGAGCUGCAUCGAGACGGUAUGGGGCGAAAGGUCUGGUAGA